AAACCAAUCGGGUUCGCGCCCGUCAAUUGGUGACUCUGAAUAACUAUAGCUGAUCGCAUGGUCUUGAACCGGCGACGUGUCUAUCAAGUGUCUGCCUUAUCAACUUUCGAUGGUAGUUUAUGUGCCUACCAUGGUUGUAACGGGUAACGGAGAAUAAGGGUUCGACUCCGGAGAGGGAGCCUGAGAAACGGCUACCACAUCCAAGGAAGGCAGCAGGCGCGCAAAUUACCCACUCUCGGCAAGAGGAGGUAGUGACGAAAAAUAACGAGACCGUACUCUUUGAGGCCGGUUAUCGGAAUGGGUACAAUUUAAACCCGUUAACGAGGAUCUAUGAGAGGGCAAGUCUGGUGCCAGCAGCCGCGGUAAUUCCAGCUCUCAAAGUGUAUAUCGUCAUUGCUGCGGUUAAAAAGCUCGUAGUUGGAUCUGCGCCUCAGGACUUGGUCCGCCCACUGGGCGAGAACUAGGCUCCUGGGCUAGUUCUGCUGGUUUUCUCUACGUUGCCUUCAUCGGUCGCGUAGGGUGGCUAGCGAGUUUACUUUGAAAAAAUUAGAGUGCUUCACGCGAGCUUAUGUCUGAAUACUCGUGCAUGGAAUAAUAGAAUAGGAUCUCGGUUCUAUUUUGUUGGUUUUCUGAUCUGAGAUAAUGGUUAAGAGGGACGGACGGGGGCAUUCGUAUCGCUGCGUGAGAGGUGAAAUUCUUGGACCGUAGCGAGACGCCCGACUGCGAAAGCAUUUGCCAAGAAUGUCUUCAUUAAUCAAGAACGAAAGUCAGAGGUUCGA
rnacentral:rRNA from 1 species